UUGUAACUGCCACCGGGUAGAACAAUGGUGCGAAAGCACUCGCAAACACAUCAGUAGGUCUUGGAAGAUGUGUUUACGAGAGCUUUUUUUGC
rnacentral:ncRNA from 1 species